rnacentral:rRNA from 1 species
AGCAGCCGCGGUAAUUCCAGCUCCAAUAGCGUAUAUUAAAGUUGUUGCAGUUAAAAGCUCGUAGUUGAAUUUCGGGGUUAGUAGGUUGGUCAUGCCUCUGGUAUGUACUGGUCUCACUGAUUCCUCCUUCCUGAUGAACCUUAAUGCCAUUAAUUUGGUGUUUUGGGGAAUUUGGACUGUUACUUUGAAAAAAUUAGAGCGUUUAAAGCAAGCUAACGCUUGAAUACAUUAGCAUGGAAUAAUGAAAUAGGACGUUCGAUCCUAUUUUGUUGGUUUCUAGGAUUGACGUAAUGAUUAAUAGGGAUAGUUGGGGGCAUUAGUAUUCAAUUGUCAGAGGUGAAAUUCUUGGAUUUAUUGAAGACUAACUACUGCGAAAGCAUUUUGCCAAGGAUGUUUUUCAUUAAUCAAGAACGAAAGUUAGGGGAUCGAAGACGAUCAGAUACCGUCGUAGUCUUAACCAUAAACUAUGCCGACUAGGGAUCGGAUGAUGUUAAUUUUUUUAAUGACUCAUUCGGCGCCU